rnacentral:rRNA from 1 species
GGAAUAUUGCACAAUGGGCGAAAGCCUGAUGCAGCGACGCCGCGUGAGUGAAGAAGUAUUUCGGUAUGUAAAGCUCUAUCAGCAGGGAAGAAAAUGACGGUACCUGACUAAGAAGCCCCGGCUAACUACGUGCCAGCAGCCGCGGUAAUACGUAGGGGGCAAGCGUUAUCCGGAUUUACUGGGUGUAAAGGGAGCGUAGACGGCGAAGCAAGUCUGAAGUGAAAACCCAGGGCUCAACCCUGGGACUGCUUUGGAAACUGUUUUGCUAGAGUGUCGGAGAGGUAAGUGGAAUUCCUAGUGUAGCGGUGAAAUGCGUAGAUAUUAGGAGGAACACCAGUGGCGAAGGCGGCUUACUGGACGAUGACUGACGUUGAGGCUCGAAAGCGUGGGGAGC